rnacentral:rRNA from 1 species
AUUGAACGCUGGCGGCAGGCCUAACACAUGCAAGUCGAGCGGAUGAAGGGAGCUUGCUCCUGGAUUCAGCGGCGGACGGGUGAGUAAUGCCUAGGAAUCUGCCUGGUAGUGGGGGAUAACGUCCGGAAACGGGCGCUAAUACCGCAUACGUCCUGAGGGAGAAAGUGGGGGAUCUUCGGACCUCACGCUAUCAGAUGAGCCUAGGUCGGAUUAGCUAGUUGGUGGGGUAAAGGCCUACCAAGGCGACGAUCCGUAACUGGUCUGAGAGGAUGAUCAGUCACACUGGAACUGAGACACGGUCCAGACUCCUCGGGAGGCAGCAGUGGGGAAUAUUGGACAAUGGGCGAAAGCCUGAUCCAGCCAUGCCGCGUGUGUGAAGAAGGUCUUCGGAUUGUAAAGCACUUUAAGUUGGGAGGAAGGGCAGUAAGUUAAUACCUUGCUGUUUUGACGUUACCAACAGAAUAAGCACCGGCUAACUUCGUG